rnacentral:rRNA from 1 species
GCACUGAAUAGCCUAGCGGCCGAGAGGUUAGCGAAGCUUAUCAAACUCAGAAUGCCAGAGUAUUGAUGCUUGGGAGUCAGACAGUGUCAGAUAAAUGUCAUUGUCAAAAGGGAAACAGCCCAGAUCUACAGCUAAGGUCCCAAAGUCAGGUUAAGUGGAAAACGAUGUGAAGAUACGCAGACAACCAGGAUGUUGGCUCAGAAGCAGCCACUCAUUCAAAGAGUGCGUAAUAGCUCACUGGUCGAGCGUCUUUGCGCGGAGAAUUUAACGGGGCUAAACCUGACACCGAAGCUUAGGCAAUGUAGUAAUACAUUGGGUAGGGGAGCGUUGUAUACGCGGAGAAACAGUAGCGUAAGCGGCUGUGGAGUGUAUAGAAGUGAGAAUGCCGGAAUGAGUAGCGCGAAUGCAGUGAGAAUCUGCAUGGCCGAAAGCCUCAGGUUUUUGGAGGAAGGUUCGUCCGCUCCAAGUUAGUCGGGAGCUAAGGUGAGGCCGGAAGGCGUAGCCGAUGCACAGACGGUAGAGAUUCCGUCACCACCAAAAGAGUUAAGCACAGGGACACAUUUGAAGUCUCAGAGCCGGGUGUUGGUUCCGGUAGAGAUCGAGGGAAAUUAGUACCGAAGUCUGGGAUGGAAGAUGGCGAGAAAAGCUGUGUGUAUUUCUGAGGUGCCCGUACCGCAAACCGACACAGGUAGGUAGGAAGAAGAUUCUAAGGCCAACGGGAGAAGGGUUGUUAAGGAACUCGGCAAAUUGACCCCGUAACUUCGGGAGAAGGGGUGCUCCAGAGAUGGAGCCGCAGAGAAUCGGCCCAAGCAACUGUUUACCAAAAACACAGGUUUGUGCUAAAUCGAAAGAUGACGUAUACGAGCUGACGCCUGCCCGGUGCUGGAAGGUUAAGAGGAGAUGUGCAAGCAUUGAAUCGAAGCCCCAGUGAACGGCGGCCGUAACUAUAACGGUCCUAAGGUAGCGAAAUUCCUUGUCAGGUAAGUUCUGACCCGCAUGAAAGGCGUAAUGAUUUGGGCACUGUCUCAACAGCCCGCCCGGCGAAAUUGUAGUACCGGUGAAGAUGCCGGUUACCCGCGACAAGACGGAAAGACCCCAUGGAGCUUUACUGUAGCCUAAUAUUGGGUUUCGAUGUUGCAUGCACAGGAUAGAUGGGACACUGGGAAGCAGGUGCUUUGGCGCUUGUGGAGUGGCCGUUGGGAUACCAUCCUUGCGAUAUUGGAAUUCUAACCUGCGCCUUUGAAUCAAGGCGGGGGACAUUGUUAGGUGGGCAGUUUGACUGGGGCGGUCGCCUCCUAAA